rnacentral:misc_RNA from 1 species
GCAAACUUGGUCAUUUAGAGGAAGUAAAAGUCGUAACAAGGUCUCCGUAGGUGAACCUGCGGAGGGAUCAUUACCGAGUGAGGGCCUCCGGGCCCGACCUCCCAACCCUUUUGUCGACCAAACACCGUUGCCUCGGGGGCGACCCGGCCUCCGCGCCGGGGCCCUCGGCGGACCAUUUCAACCCUGCAUCCGUGCGUCGGAGUCCUUUGCGAAUCAAUCAAAACUUUCAACAACGGAUCUCUUGGUUCUGGCAUCGAUGAAGAACGCAGC